GCCGAGGUGGCGGAAUAGGCAGACGCGCGGGUCUCAAAAACCCGUGGGGCAUUCACCCCGUGUGGGUUCGACUCCCACCCUCGGCA
rnacentral:tRNA from 1 species